CGUGUAGGCGGUCAGGUAAGUGGAAUGUGAAAUGCCCCGGCUCACCCGGGGACCGGCAUCCCAAACUGCCUGGCUUGAGUAUGGGAGAGGAUGGGAGGAAUUCCUGGUGUAGCGGUGAAAUGCGUAGAUAUCAGGAGGAACACCGGUGGCGAAGGCGUCCAUCUGGCCCAAUACUGACGCUGAGGCGCGAAAGCUAGGGGAGCAAACGG
rnacentral:rRNA from 1 species